rnacentral:rRNA from 1 species
UACAAAGGGGGUAGGAGUAUUUUAUUGGUUUGUAAUUAGUUUUGGGGGUUGAUUGAAGAAGGGUAUUUAUUAGGUGAAAUUUUAAAAUCUCGGUUAAUCAAGGGUAAAAUAAAUGAAGUUGUGAAAUUUGGGUAUAAAACUGGGAUUAGAUACCCCAUUAUUCCAAGUGUUAAAUGAAAGCCUGAGCAGUAGUAGUUAUGUUCUUAAAACUCAAAGAAUUUGGCGGUGUUUUAAUCCAAUCAGAGGAAUUUGUCCCGUAAUCGAUAAUCCACGUUUACUUAACUUAGUUUUGGUUUCAACUUGUAUACCGCCGUCAGAAGAGGGAUUCUAGAGAAUACCCUCAAGAUUUAGAAGUAAAGUGAAUGUCAGGUCAAGGUGCAGUUUAUGGCUAAGGGGAGAUGAGUUACAAUAGUAUUAGCUAAACGGAUAUUUAUUUGUAAAAGUAGAUUGAAGGUGGAUUUGGGGGUAAUGAAAUGGAGUAUAAUUUUGUGAUUAUGGCACUAAAACAAGCACACAUCGCCCGUCGCUCUCGGUUUUUAAGGUGAG